UCUGUGAAGCUGCUGGUGGAGUUGGCGUCCGGGGAGCAAGGGCCAUGGCCACCGUGCAGGAGAAGGCUGCUGCGCUGAACCUCUCGGCUCUCCACAGCCCCGCGCACAGGCCUCCUGGUUUCAGUGUAGCUCAGAAGCCAUUUGGAGCCACGUAUGUAUGGAGCAGCAUCAUAAACACUCUUCAAACACAAGUGGAAGUGAAAAAACGAAGGCACCGUUUAAAACGACAUAAUGACUGCUUUGUUGGUUCAGAAGCUGUGGAUGUCAUUUUUUCUCACCUAAUUCAGAAUAAGUAUUUUGGUGAUGUAGAUAUUCCUCGAGCCAAAGUGGUGAGAGUGUGUCAAGCACUUAUGGACUACAAAGUAUUUGAAGCAGUUCCAACCAAAGUCUUUGGAAAAGACAAAAAACCUACAUUUGAAGAUAGUAGUUGCAGCCUUUAUAGAUUCACCACAAUACCUAACCAAGACAGUCAGUCAGGCAAAGUGAACAAACUAUAUUCACCUGCCAGGUAUGCAGAUGCAUUAUUUAAGUCAUCCGAUAUCAAAUCAGCCAGUUUAGAGGACCUGUGGGAAAAUCUGAGUUUAAAGCCUGCCAACUCCCCUCAUGUAAAUAUCUCUGCAACCUUGUCUCCACAAGGUAAGCUAAGGCUGAAGCAAAGUAAGAAGUAGAAGACUAACUUCAAAGUUAUUUAAAAUUUUUUAAUCUUAAUCUUUAUUAGAUUUUAAAUAUUCAAAGUACAGAGAAAGAGUGCACUAUGUGUUAAAGCUGUGUAUGUUCAAUUUUAACAGAAGUCUAUUAUCUUUAACAAAUAGAUCAGUGUUAGAACUCUUGAACACUGACUUUUGUCCGAUCAGCUGGCAAAGGUUCAGAUCUGAGAUGUUUUGCAUGCAGAUUUGUAUUGAAAAUAUGCUCUCAGAUAUUUCUUUUCCCAAGAUUUUAUUAGGUCAAAUAAAAUUUGAAAAUUACAUUAAAACAUUAACAGAAUUCUUCGGUUCUUCCUUGUCUGUGGCAAUGGAAUAUAGUUUAAUGACUUUAAUUUCCACCCUUUCCCCCAUGCCAGUUGUGGAAACCCUGAGUGGAAUAAUCUGCAGCCAAUAGUUUCAAACAAGUUUUUAGC
rnacentral:sRNA from 1 species